ensembl:lncRNA
UCUAUAUAGUACUGUAAGUCUAGAAAUCUUAAUCAAAAAAUCAACUCCCAAAACCUUGGUCAACUGAUUCAUGGGACAAUGUGAGUACUGUACCUUAACACACAUACAUAUAUAUAAAAUCUUCCCUUCUCUGAAUAGGGUGGCAAAAGGAAAGAGCUCAGUUCAUCUUGGGGAAACCUAAAAGAAGCAUGGACCCUCCCACUCCCACUCUUUCCAUCUCAACACUGCUUUUGGCCUUCUUGAAUCCCUGGUUGGGAAAAUGCCGGAAGUGGCAGCUCCUCUUUUGAUUUUUCCUUUUUACCACUCUCAGAGAAGCAAAUUGUUCCUUUUUUAUAAGAGUUGAAACUGUAUAUUAACUUUUACAAAGGAGGGAGGGAGGGAGGGAGGGAAAGGGAGAAAGAAAGAAAGAAAGAAAGAAAGAAAGAAAGAAAGAAAGAAAGAAAGAAAGAAAGAAAGAAAGAAUCUAUGAGCAGAGUGGUGAAAGACUUUUUCAGAUAUCUGGAUGGGAAAAUGAUAGCAGUGGCAGCCAGAGCCGGUCCAACAUGGAAACCAAUGAGGCCUCCGCUUGGAGCGCACGGUCCUCAGGGUCACCGUCGAGCCCCCCACCCCACCACCACCACCAGCAGCAGCAGCAGCUCCCUCGCUGGCUCCCUCAACUGAAGCCUACUGCUCUUUCUUCCCUUAUCUCUCUCCCCUCCCUGCUUCUCUCUCUCUCUCUCUCUCUCUCUCUCUCUCGCGUGCGCGCGCUCUUGCUCUCGCUCUCUCUCUUUGAGAGGCCGCUGAGGGAGAGAGAGAAGCAGGGAGGGAGGGAAGGGAAGAAAGAGCCAUGCCUGCUGCUUGGCCUUCUCCUUGCCCUGCCUUGGAGCCGGGAGUCGCUCCACCCUGAGCCAGGUUGCUGCUCUGUUCAAAACCAUGGUUGGAGGACAUUUUUCUUAUGAAGGACCAUUGACUUAUGGACAGAACCAGAACAUGUUGGGAAGAGAAUCAGAUCCGGUGGCUGGCUGUAGACCAGCGGUUCCCAACCUGUGGUCUGUGGACUACCAGUGGUCCCCAAGAACUAAAAUAUGGUAUGUGGCCUCACUGUUACUACACCAUUGCAACAAGAGUGAUUGGUCUCACAAAGCCUUCUUAUAGUGCCAAGGCAACAGGGGAUGUCAAGAGGGGAGAGGCUGACUACUCAUGAAAGAUGUGACAGCAGGCCUCCUGACUGCUGCUUCUCCUCCUCCUCCGUCUCCCUGAGCAGAGCCAUUCCAUGUGGUGCCUGGAAGUGGGGGCGCCUUGUAGUCCUCAUUUUUAGGCCUGUUCCUAAGGUUAUUCAGAAAAAACUGGGUAGACCACAUCAGCUCUAGGUUAUUAAAUAUGGUUUUCUGUGGGCAAGCAGAUGGCGACUACUGGAUGGCAUAUGUUCUGUAUCAGAAAUUAGAGCUGAUGUGGGCUAUUCAAUGCAGUUUUCUGAAUCAGCACCCCAAAUAACCAAACCAAAUCUAAAAUUGUCCAAAAAUUAAUUUGUAACCCUUUUGGUACUAAUGUUGGAGAGUGGUCCCUAGUCUAAGUGGUCCCUGGUCAAAAAAAAAAUUGGGUUCACUGCUGUAGACAGAGCCCAAAGUAGGCAGAAUUUGUAGCAUUGCAUAACUCUUUAUUUGUCCUGCCCCCUCUUCUCUUGAACUCUCUCUUACUCAUAACUGAAAUAGAGAUGUGAUUUGGAGAGCAAAAAUGAUUACAGAACAUCUAGAAUGAGGAGAGCAACUAUAACCUCACCCGGGGGGGGGGGGUCAGUGUUAUAUCCACACUACCUCACCAUUGCCUAUGUUGAAUGAGGCUGAUGGAAGCUGUAGGUCAAAAACAUGUAGAGAGGCAUACAGGCAGGCAUAGAUAUUGUUUGUUUUUACUAUGUUGUACAUUUUCCAGCAGUUGUUGGCCCUGAUUCAUAUUAGCUUUUCUCUAGUUUUAUACAUCAGUUACUCAUUAAGAGGACUCCUGAGUGACAGACCACACCCUUGAAUGUUUUAAUUGAAUAGUUAAACACUGGUAUAAUAAGUGGCUAUCCUUCACACACUAACAAAGGAAUAAGUACUAUAAGAAGAAAAGCAUGGUGGCUGGGAGCUUAACAACAAUACUGAAUUCUGAGCUGCGUUCCCUGACAUGGCACUGAAAGUGUUAUUUCAGGUACACUUCAUAUCUAAAACUGUUGCCUGUGAUGCAAAAUAGCUAUUGGUUCCAAAACCCAAAUUUGUCUUGGACAUACACAAAUAGUUGUUCUUUAUUUGAACCCAAUUCCAUAAUGCAAAUCUUUCAUUGCCAGGUCAAAGGAAGAAAUAUUAAUUCUCACCAUUUUUCAUUCUCAGAGAUUCAUAGCUACUUUGCAGAAUUCCCACAAUAGAAUU